GCUCCCGUAGCUCAAUCGGUAGAGCGUUAGACUUUUACGGCUUCGUGCCUAAUUGAGAUUAUCUAACGGCCGCGGGUUCGAGCCCCGCCGGGAGCU